UCCAGAGUGGAUCCUGAGUACGGCGGAACACGUGAAAUUCCGUCGGAAUCCGGGAGGACCAUCUCCCAAGGCUAAAUACUCCCUAGUGACCGAUAGUGAACCAGUACCGUGAGGGAAAGGUGAAAAGCACCCCGGAAGGGGAGUGAAACAGUUCCUGAAACCGUGUGCCUACAAGUAGUUAGAGCCCGUUAAUGGGUGAUAGCGUGCCUUUUGUAGAAUGAACCGGCGAGUUACGAUUUGUUGCAAGGUUAAGCGGAAAAAGCGGAGCCGUAGCGAAAGCGAGUCUGAAUAGGGCGCAUAAGUAACAGGUCGUAGACCCGAAACCAGGUGAUCUACCCAUGUCCAGGAUGAAGGUAAGGUAAUACUUACUGGAGGUCCGAACCCACGCACGUUGAAAAGUGCGGGGAUGAGGUGUGGGUAGCGGAGAAAUUCCAAUCGAACUUGGAGAUAGCUGGUUCUCUCCGAAAUAGCUUUAGGGCUAGCCUCGAGGUAAAGAGUCAUGGAGGUAGAGCACUGUUUGGACUAGGGGCCCUUCUCGGGUUACCGAAUUCAGAUAAACUCCGAAUGCCAUGUACUUAUACUCGGGAGUCAGACUGCGAGUGAUAAGAUCCGUAGUCGAAAGGGAAACAGCCCAGACCACCAGUUAAGGUCCCCAAAUAUAUGUUAAGUGGAAAAGGAUGUGGGGUUGCUUAGACAACCAGGAUGUUGGCUUAGAAGCAGCCACCAUUGAAAGAGUGCGUAAUAGCUCACUGGUCGAGUGACCCCGCGCCGAAAAUGUACCGGGGCUAAACAUAUUACCGAAACUGUGGAUGAACCUCUUUAGAGGUUCGUGGUAGGAGAGCGUUCUAAGGGCGGUGAAGUCAGACCGGAAGGACUGGUGGAGCGCUUAGAAGUGAGAAUGCCGGUAUGAGUAGCGAAAGAAGGGUGAGAAUCCCUUCCACCGAAUAUCUAAGGUUUCCUGAGGAAGGCUCGUCCGCUCAGGGUUAGUCGGGACCUAAGCCGAGGCCGAUAGGCGUAGGCGAUGGACAACAGGUAGAGAUUCCUGUACCAGUGCUAAUUGUUUAACCGAUG
rnacentral:rRNA from 1 species